UACGGAGGAUGCAAGCGUUAUCCGGAAUGAUUGGGCGUAAAGCGUCCGCAGGGGGCUAUGUAAGUCUGCUGUUAAAGAGUCUAGCUCAACUAGAUAAGAGCAGUGGAAACUACAAGGCUAGAGUACGUUCAGGGCAGAGGGAAUUCCUGGUGUAGCGGUGAAAUGCGUAGAGAUCAGGAAGAACACCAGUGGCGAAGGCGCUCUGCUAGGCCGUAACUGACACUGAGGGACGAAAGCUAGGGGAGCGAAUGGG
rnacentral:rRNA from 1 species